rnacentral:rRNA from 1 species
GCUUAACACAUGCAAGUCGAGCGGUAACAUUUCUAGCUUGCUAGAAGAUGACGAGCGGCGGACGGGUGAGUAACGCGUAGGAAUCUGCCUAGUAGUGGGGGACAACAUGUGGAAACGCAUGCUAAUACCGCAUACACCCUACGGGGGAAAGGAGGGGACCUUCGGACCUUUCGCUAUUAGAUGAGCCCGCGUGAGAUUAGCUAGUUGGUGGGGUAAAGGCCUACCAAGGCGACGAUCUCUACCUGGUCUGAGAGGAUGAUCAGCCACACUGGGACUGAGACACGGCCCAGACUCCUACGGGAGGCAGCAGUGGGGAAUAUUGGACAAUGGGCGCAAGCCUGAUCCAGCCAUGCCGCGUGUGUGAAGAAGGCCUUAGGGUUGUUAAGCACUUUCAGGAGUGAGGAAGGGCGUAUAGUUCAUACCUGUAUGUCUUGACGUUAACUCC